rnacentral:rRNA from 1 species
UACGAAGGGGGCUAGCGUUGUUCGGAAUUACUGGGCGUAAAGCGCGCGCAGGCGGUCUUCCAAGUCAGUGGUGAAAGCCUGGAGCUCAACUCCAGAACUGCCAUUGAAACUGUUGGACUUGAGUACGAGAGAGGUGAGUGGAAUUCCCAGUGUAGAGGUGAAAUUCGUAGAUAUCGGGAGGAACACCUGUGGCGAAAGCGGCUCACUGGACCACAACUGACGCUGAGGCGCGAAAGCUAGGGGAGCAAACAGG